CAUAGUGAAUAACUAACGGGUUAGUUGGUCUUGUCAUGGAUUUUCUUAGGUCUAUAAUCAGAUGUAUACGGGGACAAUUUAGUCCAUUGUUAUACUACAGGACCAGGAGAAGAAAGAUUACCUUGAGAUCCUAUUGUCGCAGACGAUCGUGGAUAAUUUUGUCCAUUGUGAUACUACAGAACUAAGAGAAGACAUAUUACUUACAGAGUACCUAUUGUUGCAGAUUAAUGUGUCUACUAACGAGUCUUCUGUAGUAGUGUUGUCGAGAGCGCAUCAAUUUUUGUUCUCAAUAAAUACAGAAAUCUCCAUAAUAAC